CUCCUUUGACGUUAGCGGCGGACGGGUGAGUAACACGUGGGUAACCUACCUAUAAGACUGGGAUAACUUCGGGAAACCGGAGCUAGUACCGGAUAAUAUUUCGAACCGCAUGGUUCGAUAGUGAAAGGUGGUUUUGCUAUCACUUAUAGAUGGACCCGCGCCGUAUUAGCUAGUUGGUAAGGUAACGGCUUACCAAGGCGACGAUACGUAGCCGACCUGAGAGGGUGAUCGGCCACACUGGAACUGAGACACGGUCCAGACUCCUACGGGAGGCAGCAGGG
rnacentral:rRNA from 1 species